rfam:Scytonema hofmannii PCC 7110 genomic scaffold Scaffold1, whole genome shotgun sequence.
GGGAGCCGGAUGCACCCAAAGGCGCACGUCCGGUUCUAAUAGAGAGGUGCGCGGGAUAAUACCCGCCAUCGACUCUAC